UAGGGAAUAUUGCACAAUGGAGGAAACUCUGAUGCAGUGACACCGCGUGAGCGAAGAAGGCCUUCGGGUUGUAAAGCUCUGUGAUAGGGGAAGAUGAUGACGGUACCCUGUCAGAAAGGACCGGCUAACUUCGUGCCAGCAGCCGCGGUAAUACGAGGGGUCCAAGCGUUGUUCGGAAUUACUGGGCGUAAAGCGGGUGUAGGCGGCCAUGCCAGUCAGAUGUGAAAGCCCUGGGCUCAACCCAGGAAGUGCAUCCGAUACUGCAUGACUUGAGUAUUAGAGGGGGAAGUGGAAUUCCUGGUGUAGCGGUGAAAUGCGUAGAUAUCAGGAGGAACAUCAGUGGCGAAGGCGACUUCCUGGCUGUAUACUGACGCUCAGACCCGAAAGCGUGGGGAGCAAACAGG
rnacentral:rRNA from 2 species